UAACAGAGGUUAUCCACAAUCAGAUUGAACGCUGGCGGGAUGCUUUACGCGUAAAGUCGAACAGCGGCACCGGACUUUCAGUCUGGUGGCGAGUGGCGAACGGGUAGGUAAUGUAUGGAACGUGCCUAGUAGCAGGGGAUAACUACGCGGCGUAGCUGACACACCGCAUCGCCUUCAGAAAAGCAGGAGGCCUUCAGGCCUCGCACUAUUGCGACAGCCGAUAUCGGAUUAGCUGGUUGGUGGGAAUAACGACUCGCAAACGACGAUCGGCAGCUGGUUUGAGAGGACGACCAGCCACUGGGGACUGAGACACGGCCCAGACUCCUACACGGGAGGCAGCAGUGGGAAUUUUUUUGGACGGUAAACCUGAUCCGCCAUCCGCGUGUGCGAUGAAGGCCUUCAGGUUGUAAAAGCACUUUUGACAGGAAAGAAACGUGCGGAUAAUACGUGCAACUGACGAACACCCCUGCAGAAUAAGCACCGGCUAACUACGUUGCGUAGCCGCCAGUAAACACGUAGGUGCAAGCGUUAAUCGGAAUUACUGGGCGUAAAGCGUGCGCAGGCGGUUCGGAAAAGAAGAUAUAACGAAAUCCCGACUUAACUUGGAACCCAUUUUAACUUACCGAGCUAGAGUGUGUCAGAAGUGCAAAUUCCGCGUGUAGCAGUGAAAUGCGUAGAUAUGCGGAGGAACACCGAUAGCGGGCAGCCUCCUGGGAUAACACUGACGCUCAUGCACGAAAGCGUGGGAGCAAACAGGAUUAGAUGCCUGAUCCACGCCUAAACGAUGUCAACUACGCUGUUCAGAACUAAGACGCUUGGUAGCGCAGCUAACGGCGUGAAGUUGUGCGCCGCAAGUACAGUCGCAAGAUUAAAACUCAGGAAUUGACGGGGACCCGCACAAGCGGUGGAUGAUGUGGAUUAAUUCGAUGCAACGCGAAAAACUGCCACCUGCCCUUGACAUGUCCCCGGAAUCCGAAGAUUUGGGAGUGCUCGCAAGAGAACCGGAACACAGGUGCUGCAUGGCUGUCGUCAUCGUAUCGUGAGAUGUUGGGUUAAGUCCCGCAACAAGCGCAACCCUUAAUAAAUUAGAUUGCUACGAAAAGGGCACUCUGUGAGACUGCCGGUGACAAACCGGAGGAAGGUGGGGAUGACGUCAAGUCCUCAUGGCCCUUGCUGGGUAGGGACACACGUCAUACAAUGGUCGGGACAGAGGUCGCCAACCCGCCGGGGCUGGUGAAACCCGAUCAGUCCGGAUCGCAGUCUGCAACUCGACUGCGUGAAGUCAAGAUCUUCCGUAAUCGCGGAUCAGCAUGUCGCGGUGAAUACGUUCCGGGUCUUGUACUACCACCGCCCGUCUUUACAUGGGUGGGUUUGCCAGAAGUAGUUAGCCCUGUAACCGUAAGGAGGGCGAUUACCACGGUAGGAUUCAUGACUGGGGUGAAGUCGUAACAAAGGUAG
rnacentral:rRNA from 1 species